GGCCUAACAGCUUCUCUUAAACCUCUACCUAAUUGGUCAGCAAAUCCCGUCAUCUCUCCCUCCUGGCCUCCUCCACUUGGGAGGGCACUGGGAAACACUGUCCUUGUAUUUAUAGUCCUUCAAUCCCAACCAUUACUAACAUCAUGUGUAGACAGUGGUCAGAAUGAAGCCAGACUGCAGUGGUUCUCAACCUUGGCAGCAGUUGGAAUCACCUGGGGGAAUUUUAAAAAUACUGGUGCCUGUGUCCCACCCCAGAGAUUCUGCUUUAAUUGGUCUGGGAUAUGACCUGAGAGUUUUAAAAGCUAACCCCAGCUCCCGCCCAGGUGGUUCUAAUGUUCAGCCAAGUUUUCAAACAGCUGUGCUAGGGCUUAAAAAAGACCCAGUGAAAAUCAUUAGCGUUAAUCAGUGCUUAAAUGUCAAGUAGAUUUUGGUAUCACACACUAAAAAACUUUCCAAAAUAUUAAAGUAAACAAUACAGACAGUCCCCAACUUAGUGACGGUUUGAUUUACGAUUUUCAGCUUCAUGAUUGGUUUAUUGGGGUAUUAAAUGCGUUUUUGGCUUAUGCUAUUUUCGACUUACUAUGGGUUUAUCAGGAUGUGACAUGACCCCAUCAUAAGUCAUGAAACAUCUUGCAGUUAAAACUGGGAGAUUAUAUAAGUACACCCUCGUCUCUUUGAAUGAGCCUUAUAAUUUUAAUCUUCACUUUGAUAAUUUUUUCUCAUUUUAAUAAAAUAUUUUAGUUUUCAAUAUUGAUCAUUUAGUGAGAAAAUCCCAGCACUGCCUAAAAUAUUGGGCAGAAUAUCACUAUCUCAGCUCCAUUUUACAUCCUCUGUGUUUUUCUUUUCUUUUUGUGGGGAGGGGAUGGGGUCUCACUCUGUUGCCCAGGCUGCAGUGCAGUGAUGCCCUCUCAGCUCACUGUAACCUCUACCUCCUGGGCUCAAGUGAUCCUCCUGCCUCUGCCUCCCAGCCUGUAGCUUGGGACUACAGGCAUGCACCACCACACCUGGUUAAUUUUUGCUCCUUUUUUUGUAGAGAUGAGGUCUUACUAUGUUCCCAGGCUGGUCUCAAACUCCUAGGUUCAAGCAGUUCUCUGACCGUGGCCUUCUAAAGUGCUAGAGUCAUAGGCAUGAGCCACUGCGCCUGGCCCGCUGUGUUUUCUUUUCAAGCACAGUAAUUUUUUCUGUGAAUUUUGGGGAAACUGAGCUGAGAAGCUCACCUCUGUUUUUGGCAAUGUUGAAGGAGUUUAACAGAUUAAUGAGGCCAGUUUUAUCACCUUAAUUUUCUUUUUAAAUUUUCUAGCACUUUUCCUCCAGAGGCAUUCAUGGGGGGUCAUCACGUCACAGUUUUUUCAUGAUACGUUAACAAGCAGGGGAGAAAGAGACAAUUGGUAAGUAAAGAACGAUAUCUAAAAGCAACUCACAGAGUCGGGGGUGAAAGGACAGGGGAGAGGAGAGGCAUCAAAGGGCCUGCAGCGAGGGGCGCCUCUUCUCAGUUCCUACCGCCGGGAGAGAGCUGGGAGAAUAGACAGCUGGCUCAUCAUGAAGGGUCACCCACAUCACCGCAGCAGAACCCAGCUUUUCCCUUCCACGUCCUGAUUCCUACUUUUCUCAGCUCAAAAUUUCUAUUUCCACCUGUUUACUAGAAUUGAAGGAAAUUCCUGAUUAACCUAAAAAACACAGUUUGGGUUGCCUGAUUUUCCUAUUAACUUCUUCCUCUGAUGUGUAUUGUUCCAGAGAGACAGCAUGCAAACUGUGUUCAUCUGAAACCCAAAGUUUAUUUAUUUUAAAACGUGUCAGCCAGUGUGUCACACAAAUCAAUAAAAAUAACUCUUGUAAAAAAAGAAAUCCCUAAAAGGGAAUGGAGUCAGAAAUUUUGUGGUGCGUUUUAUUACUUGUUUAUUUUUGCUCUCAUUUUACCACUCUUGUAUUUCAAGCUUGAAUUAUGAUUAUACUUCUGAAAUAAUUUUAAGCAAACAAAAAUAUUCAUCACACUAUGAAAACAAAUAUCCAAAAAUAUGCUCUAUGGUCACAAUUUUUGUAUCUGAACAUUUACCUACGACUCUGUAUAUGAACAGUGAUACUUGUUUUUCAAUCAUUUCUUAUUUGACUUGUAAAACAGAAUUUUUCUAUUUUUGGAAAAUAUCUUAAAAAUUAAGAACAAGCCCUUCUCCUCAGUGCUACACAUAAAGGACCUUAUUUGUCACCUUCUGUCCUGGAAUGACAGGACAGGUCGACCCUAAUUUCACUCCUCUAAACAAGGUAAUGAUGGCUUGUGCAGGAAAUCUAAAUCUGGCCUCAGAGGCAGCCCAGUGAUUUUCCAGGUCAAGGGAAAGGGAGAAAGCAAAGAUCUGAAGCUCUGUCCUCCUCUCCUGGGUAUCUGCCGUCCACAGAGCUGGGGGAAGUCUGCCAUCUAGUGGAAAGUAGAGGGCACUGACAGUUACUUGCAAUAGUGGUUUCCCAGGACCGCUUGAGCAUCAAGCGUUUCUGAUCCGGGGGCAUAGCUUCCAUCAGGGACAGGGUGGACUAGCAGAAGAAUAUUCAACAACAACAAGUAACAUUCAAACCCAAUACACAAAUGUUUCUUUAUAUAUAUAAACUACACAUAGUGCCCUAUACAAAGUGCUUCUUCAUAAAGUAGUGCCAGGUGAAGUGCUAAGUGUUUUAGUUAAUAAAUCUCAUCUCAUUUCUACAGUGAUUAUCAAUGUAUUCUGCAUGAUUUUUCCUAUACAAUGGCAAAAACACAGGGUGGGAAGUAUACUUAAUCCCUAACACAGUGAUUACCAUUAUACUUUUAAAAUUGCUGUACAGAGAAUAUUUUCCAUCGGUUCAGAUCCAUACAAUAAUCGAUUUCAGUUUAUGCUUGUCUUUUGACAACAAUUGACAUAUUCAGGUAACAACAUUAAGGGGGCUGGGGGACAGACCAAGUUACUCAGAUAUAUUUGUGCUCUCUCCUUUUGAUUUCAUUUGAUUUCAUUUGUUACACUGUUCCAAUUUGCUUUAAGUGAUUGUUUUUAAUUAUAUUAAAGUAGCACAUGCCAUGCAUAUAUUUAAAAGCAUGGUCUCCUCUUCCGCCCCUUCCCACCUCUAGUCUUGGUCCCUAGAGGUAAUGACCUGCAGUUCUGUUAGUUGCUUCUUUUCGUAUUUUCCUCCAUAAUCUCUAAAUAAAACGCUCUGCUUCUAUUUCCUUGUCUGUCUGUGGUGGAUUGACUGCCUUAGUUUGGGUUCUUUCAGAGGCAGAUCCUGAAAUGGAUGAUUCAAGGACAGGAUGGGAAAGUAAGAUGAGGAGAAGGCCAUCAGUAAAGGGCAAAUCAUCACACCAGCUGCCACCAUAGGCACCUGCACCAGACCCAGUGUAGAAAUGGGAGCCAGUGCGAAACAGAGCUCACGACCACUGGUUUAGAGCUGCUCCUGUCACAUGGGCAGCAAGUAAGCUCCAGCACCAAGAGCAACACCAAAGCAGAUGCUGGCAAUUGCACACAGAGCUGCCUUGUGCAGCCGUGGUCAGGGCCAGGUGUGUGGGCAGGGAACUGCCAGUGUCUGCUACAGCCAUCUCACCUGUCGGGUACCCAGGUAAGCAAGAGCCUUGCACACCCCCACCUUCCUCAUCCUUCCCUUUUCACCCCACCUCCUCUCUCCUACUGCUCAGCUUCUGAUUACAUUUGCUUCCUUGUUUACAUUCUUCUAUAGCUAUAUUUAGGCCUACAGUUUGAUUUUGAAAGCACAUUGAUGAUGUGACUUUGCAGUAUUUUUCACUGCCGAGCUAGUGUUCACUAUAAUUACAUUUCUUUUUUUUUUUUUUUGAGACAGGGUCUCGCU
rnacentral:lncRNA from 1 species